GCUUGCUUGCAGUGCUGAGAUGCAAGCUCUGAUUCCAUUUGUGCCAGGGUCUUAUUAUGUGUUGAGACAUGGUCCAAGGAUGAAGCUGUGUGAGAUUUCUGAGAGCUUGUGAGAAAGCUUCAAGAAAACAGAAUCUUGCGCCUUCUGUGCCUUCUGAACAAGGGUUUGUUCUAGGAAUAUGCUUUUGUGCCCCUCCCAGAUGUAUCUGCCAACUAGAGCAGUAACACUAGCUGUUCUGGAACUUGCCAUGUAGACCAGUCAAGCCACAGACUUGUGGAGAUGCUCCCACCGUUGCCUCCUGAGUGCUGAGAUGACGCUGUGCACCAUCAUGUGUU